rnacentral:rRNA from 1 species
GUCCACGCCCUAAACGAUGUCGACUAGUUGUUGGGGAAGGAAACUUCCUUAGUAACGAAGCUAACGCGUGAAGUCGACCGCCUGGGGAGUACGGCCGCAAGGUUAAAACUCAAAGGAAUUGACGGGGACCCGCACAAGCGGUGGAUUAUGUGGAUUAAUUCGAUGCAACGCGAAAACCUUACCUACCCUUGACAUGUCCGGAACCCUGCCGAGAGGUGGGGGUGCCCGAAAGGGAGCCGGAACACAGGUGCUGCAUGGCUGUCGU